GGGUGAAUGUACGUGCAGGAGCUGGGCCAAAAGCCGACGCAGGGCUCUGGCAGUGCCGGCUGAGCUGACUCACCGGCCCGGCUCCCUCCCCGGAGCCAGCGGCAGCGCGGCACCUCCGCACGGCAGCGACCCAGCAGGGACCCUGUGGGGGCAGGGUCCUGUCCUGUCUGCCCGGUCCUGUCCGGCCCUGGCGCUGCUUUGGUGCUGAGCCCCCCGCGUCACGUAGCAGCCACCGCAGAGCAGGCAGGGGCCGGAGAAGGGACUCUGCUGCCCGCAGCGCCGCUCCAGGGAGCCAGGGUGGACCCUCCUCAUGGCAGCCAGGCCCCCGCAUAACACCAGCCAAACUGGACACCCCGGUCCCACGAGAGACCCUCCCCAGCCAGAACCAACCCUUCUGCCACCUGCAGCCCAGCCCGGACUCUCCUGUCCCUGCCUGUCCCCACACCAGCCCAGUGUCCCACCUGUCAGACACGGGCACACGCCGCGAUGCCGCG